UACGUAGGGGGCGAGCGUUGUUCGGAUUCAUUGGGCGUAAAGGGUGCGUAGGCGGCGCGGUAAGUCGGGUGUGAAAUCUCGGAGCUUAACUCCGAAACUGCAUUCGAUACUGCCGUGCUUGAGGACUGGAGAGGAGACUGGAAUUUACGGUGUAGCGGUGAAAUGCGUAGAUAUCGUAAGGAAGACCAGUGGCGAAGGCGGGUCUCUGGACAGUUCCUGACGCUGAGGCACGAAGGUCAGGGGAGCAAACGGG
rnacentral:rRNA from 1 species